AACAGAGUGAGACUCCAUCUUAAAAAAAAAAAAGGAUAAACAUUUAAUGCCAGAAAGGGACUUCUUAUGGGCAUGGGAGGAGGAAAAUGUUAUAGGAGUUUACAUAUAUUUGUAAAGUAUCCCUUCUUUUAAAAGAUCUGAAAUGACUAAACGUUAAUGUUUGAUAAAGCUAUUAGGUACAGGUAUUCUUUUAAGUAUUCUGAAUGUUUGAUGUAUUUUACAAUAUUUUCAAAAGUGAGAUGAUCUUCCAGGAAGCUGACAUUUUUUAUCUCAUGGACCACAUCCGGUGUUGCAUAACUUCAAGUUUCUGCCCAGCAAUGUGGUAAUUCUUCGGCUGUUUUCUCUGCCAACAGUGGAUGUACUUGGCAACUGCAGUGCAGUCAUGGGGAACCUAGUUCUCUUUUGACUAUGAUGGAGACCUCUGCUGGCUGAAAAAGAAGGCAGCAGCAUCAACAAGAAAAAGAAGAGACACCAGAAAUGUGCACACAGAGGAAAGGACACAGGAAGAUGGCAUCCGUCUGCAAGCCAAGGAGAGGGGUCUUGCAGGAGAGACCAAACCUGCCACCCUGUUGAUUUUGGA